GGGUGAGGAGAGUAUCCUAAGGCCAGCGAGAGAACUGUGGUUAAGGAACUCGGCAAAAUGACCCCGUAACUUAGGGAUAAGGGGUGCCACCAUCAGGUGGCCGCAGAGAAUAGGCCCAAGCGACUGUUUACCAAAAACAUAGGUUUCUGCAAAGUCGCAAGACGAUGUAUCGGAGCUGACGCCUGCCCGGUGCUGGGAGGGUAAGGGGAUCUGUUAGAGCAAGCGAAGCAGUGAACUUAAGCCCCAGUAAACGGAGGCCGUAACUAUAACGGUCCUAAGGGAGCGAAAUUCCUUGUCGGGUAAGUUCCGACCCGCACGAAAGGCGUAACGAUUUGGGCACUGUCUCAACAACAGACUCGGUGAAAUUGUAAUUCCGGUGAAGAUGCCGGAUACCUGCGACAGGACGGAAAGACC
rnacentral:rRNA from 1 species